rnacentral:misc_RNA from 1 species
UGGUUCUGGCAUCGAUGAAGAACGCAGCGAAAUGCGAUAAGUAAUGUGAAUUGCAGAAUUCAGUGAAUCAUCGAAUUUUUGAACGCAUAUUGCGCCCUCUGGUAUUCCGGAGGGCAUGCCUGUUCGAGCGUCAUCAGUACCCUCAAGCCUAGCUUGGUAUUGGGCCUCUGUCCAUUGGAUGGGCCCGAAAAUCAGUGGUGACUGGCCCUCAUGGCUUCAAGUAUAGUAGAAUUUCUUCAACUUGCCAAGCUCUAGGGGACGGUUUUAACCAUCAAACCUCCAUGAUAAAAAAGUUGACCUCGGAUCAGGUAGGGAUACCCGCUGA